UACAGAGGUCCCAAGCGUUGUUCGGAUUCACUGGGCGUAAAGGGCGCGUAGGCGGUCUGAUAAGUCUUGUGUGAAAUCUCUGGGCUCAACCCAGAGUCUGCAUAGGAAACUGUCGGGCUUGAGUAUGGGAGAGGUGCGUGGAAUUUCCGGUGUAGCGGUGAAAUGCGUAGAUAUCGGAAGGAACACCUGUGGCGAAAGCGGCGCACUGGACCAAAACUGACGCUGGAGGCGCGAAAGCUAGGGGAGCAAACAGG
rnacentral:rRNA from 1 species